GAUAUACACCCUCCGUCCGGAAAUACUUGUUGGAGAAACGAAUGUAUCUAAACAUAUUUUAGUUCUAGAUACAUUCAUUUUUAUUCAUUUUUCUGAAAAGUAUUUCCAGACGGAGGAGAGUAUGUA
rfam:Hordeum vulgare subsp. vulgare, WGS project CAJW01000000 data, contig: morex_contig_245322